GACGAACGCUGGCGGCGUGCUUAACACAUGCAAGUCGAACGGAAAGGCCCUGCUUUUGUGGGGUGCUCGAGUGGCGAACGGGUGAGUAACACGUGAGUAACCUGCCCUUGACUUUGGGAUAACUUCAGGAAACUGGGGCUAAUACCGGAUAGGAGCUCCUGCUGCAUGGUGGGGGUUGGAAAGUUUCGGCGGUUGGGGAUGGACUCGCGGCUUAUCAGCUUGUUGGUGGGGUAGUGGCUUGCCAAGGCUUUGACGGGUAGCCGGCCUGAGAGGGUGACCGGCCACAUUGGGACUGAGAUACGGCCCAGACUCCUACGGGAGGCAGCAGUGGGGAAUAGUGCACAAUGGGCGGAAGCCUGAUGCAGCAACGCCGCGUGCGGGAUGACGGCCUUCGGGUUGUAAACCGCUUUCGCCUGUGACGAAGCGUGAGUGACGGUAAUGGGUAAAGAAGCACCGGCUAACUACGUG
rnacentral:rRNA from 1 species